GGUCUAAUACUGGAUAUUGACUUUACCUCGCAUGGGGUUUGGUUGAAAGAUUUAUUGGUUUUGGAUGGACUCGCGGCCUAUCAGCUUGUUGGUGAGGUAAUGGCUCACCAAGGCGACGACGGGUAGCCGGCCUGAGAGGGUGACCGGCCACACUGGGACUGAGACACGGCCCAGACUCCUACGGGAGGCAGCAGUGGGGAAUAUUGCACAAUGGGCGAAAGCCUGAUGCAGCGACGCCGCGUGAGGGAUGACGGCCUUCGGGUUGUAAACCUCUUUCAGUAGGGAACAAGGCCAGCAUUUUUGUUGGUUGAGGGUACUUGCAGAAGAAGCGCCGGCUAACUACGUGCCAGCAGCCGCGGUAAUACGUAGGGCGCAAGCGUUAUCCGGAAUUAUUGGGCGUAAAGAGCUCGUAGGCGGUUUGUCGCGUCUGCCGUGAAAGUCCGGGGCUCAACUCCGGAUCUGCGGUGGGUACGGGCAGACUAGAGUGAUGUAGGGGAGACUGGAAUUCCUGGUGUAGCGGUGAAAUGCGCAGAUAUCAGGAGGAACACCGAUGGCGAAGGCAGGUCUCUGGGCAUUAACUGACGCUGAGGAGCGAAAGCAUGGGGAGCGAACAGGAUUAGAUACCCUGGUAGUCCAUGCCGUAAACGUUGGGCACUAGGUGUGGGGGACAUUCCACGUUUUCCGCGCCGUAGCUAACGCAUUAAGUGCCCCGCCUGGGGAGUACGGCCGCAAGGCUAAAACUCAAAGGAAU
rnacentral:rRNA from 1 species